AUACAUACAUUCCUCCUGUCUAGAACAUUAUCUUCGCUCUAGACAAGAGGAAACCAAGGCUUAGAUUAUGGAGGUAGCUGGCCAGGUCACAAAGCAGCAGGCCCUGUAGGCAGAUGACAUGGAAGGCAGGGCUUGCUCACAGUCUGUGGGGCUUCCAGACAUAUGGAGAUCUGCUGCCUACUGGCUCCCGCCAGGACAGACAGUGAUGAGAGGCCAGGGUACCUGAGCUCAGCCUUGAGAGCUGGAUAGGUGAUGUCCACGCAGACAGAGGACCUGAGCCUGGGCCCAGAUGGUCAUAGAAGAGAGGUGCUGGGUAACUGCAGGUAGUUCACAGUAGAGAGUGUGAGGUCAGCGUUGGAGGAUAGCAACCGAAUAGAAGGCAGGAAUCUGAUAAAGAUGCUUUGACAUUUAACACAGCACCUUGGGUACCAAUGAGAGGCCACUGACAGAUAUUAACAUGAGUCUAAUGUGAUGAGCUUUGCCUUUUGUUUUUGUGACUGGUAUAGAAGAGUCAUGGAGAAAGUUGUUAAUGUCAGCCAGGGAAAGCAAUGUUUCCAGGAGAACUUUUCAAGAUGACAUUUCCAGUAAAGACUCGAGUCUCUGGGUACAAGCACAACUACUCUGGGAACCAGACAACUCAACCUAAGGCAGGAGCUUCCUCUUCACCUCUGCCCUGAAGUUAGCAACACUGGGUGCAUGAAGAUUAUCAGUUUUGGGGAAGACAGCAUGAAAGAAGAAAAAAGGGAGCAGAAGGAAGCCCCGUGGAUGUGCGCAGGGUCCCGGCUGAGCCGAGGCUGACAGCUGGGGAAACGCACCUGGAACGCCCUCUCCUCGGCCCUUCCCAGCCUCCUCUGUGCUGAUAAACCCUUCUCAGUUCAGACUCAAUCACGCUUUCCUUCUGUGGGGAAGACGCUUCGCCCUGCUCCCUACCUACCUUUGUCCUUUCUUGCUAUAUUCUCGCAUAUCCUCUACUUAGCUUCAUACAUUUUUCUCCUUUUAUCAGAUUUAGGAUUAGAUACACUUUUCUUUAUCUCUGUAGCGGUUAUAACAGUAUUUCCAUAUUUCCAAAAUCAUUUGUACACCAUCUCUUUCCUUGAUUAGUCUUUUAAGGGUCCUGAAGUUGGGGAUAUUUUGCUCACCAAGGUAUCUGCAGUCAUUAGAACACGAAUAUGAUAGCUUAUGGGGAAGAAAGGGAGGACACGAAUAGUACUGAAAGUGUGCUGCGCGAGUCACCUGCAGCAGUGAAGAACUGCAAAAUUAUGCCCAAGAGGACAGAGUCCUGGGCCCUUUAUGAAGUCCUCUCUGUCCCAGCCAUGUACUUCUCUUUUCUGUUUUGCAUGCAGAUGUAAAGGUUAGCUAAUCGGGAUGAGUUUCUUGGAGAAAAGAGAGGUAGCUGGGGAAAAGGUCUUGGGGCCCAUCUGUGGGCCUGCUGGUCAACCUCCGGCGUGCUACAAGGUCAGUAUAGCCUAGAUGUCUGCACCAAGGGAAAGUCAACAUUCAUUUUCUUUGAGAGAGAAAGGACCAUGUUGGGAAUUAUCUUAUUUAUGAAUUUCUUUUAUUUAUAAACUGAAAUUUUUGAUUAAUUAUCUUUUAAUCGCCUUUCAAAGUCCAGAUCAUGAAUGAACUUCAAGAAUCUGUAACUAUCAGUGAGUUGGGAUCUGUGCGUUCAGCUGAGUGUCAACCCUGGCCCUGACCUCCCCUGCUCUGCUUCUCUCAGAACAGGGACCGGAAGCCAGGAGCUACAUUUCCUGGAAUCCCUUGAAGGCAGAGUCUCAGUCAGGGUUGUCCAGUAAGGACCCCACGAGGGUGUGAAAGACAAUGCAGAAGUGGAGGUCACUGCUUUUGUUGGCUGCUGGAGUCAGAGUAAGGACAGUCAGCGGAUGUGAGGUUUGUAGCGACUUCAGCUGAAAGUUUCCAAUCACAUACUUGGGAGUGGCUUCCCAGCCAUCCAGUACAUUUGGGUUUACAAUAAGCACAGUUUUUCUUUAACUGUUGCUUCCACAACCUCUUAAAGGAAAUCCUUUUUUAUUUAGAAAUAACCACAGACUCCUAAGAUGUUGCAAAAGCAAAAGCAGUCACGUAACAAUAAAAACAUGAACUAGCUUCACUCAUUGUGACAUCUUACACUGCUAUAAUAGCAAAGCCAGAAACUGACAUUAGUGUAACUAUGAACUAGCUACAGAUCUUAUUUUGUUUUCAGCAGCUUUUACAUAGACUCACU